rnacentral:rRNA from 1 species
AGCAGCCGCGGUAAUUCCAGCUCCAAUAGCGUAUAUUAAAGUUGUUGCAGUUAAAAAGCUCGUAGUUGAAUUUCGGGAUCAGUACGCUGGUCGUGCCUUUGGUAUGCACUGGUGUCACUGGUUCCUCCCUUCUGAAGAACUGUCAUGCCAUUAAUUUGGUGUGGCGGGGAAUCAGGACUGUUACUUUGAAAAAAUUAGAGUGUUUAAAGCAGGCUCGCGCUUGAAUACAUUAGCAUGGAAUAAUGAAAUAGGACGUUUGAUUCUAUUUGUGGUUUCUAGGAUCGACAUAAUGAUUAAUAGGGAUAGUUGGGGGCAUUAGUAUUCAAUUGUCAGAGGUGAAAUUCUUGGAUUUAUUGAAGACUAACUACUGCGAAAGCAUUUGCCAAGGAUGUUUUCAUUAAUCAAGAACGAAAGUUAGGGGAUCGAAGACGAUCAGAUACCGUCGUAGUCUUAACCAUAAACUAUGCCGACUAGGGAUCGGAUGAUGUUAAUUUUUAA